UACGGAGGGAGCUAGCGUUGUUCGGAAUUACUGGGCGUAAAGCGCGCGUAGGCGGCUUUGUAAGUUAGAGGUGAAAGCCCGGGGCUCAACCCCGGAAUUGCCUUUAAGACUGCAUCGCUUGAAUCCGGGAGAGGUGAGUGGAAUUCCGAGUGUAGAGGUGAAAUUCGUAGAUAUCGGGAGGAACACCAAUGGCGAAGGCAGCUCGCUGGUACGUGACUGACGCUGAGACGCGAAAGCGUGGGGAGCAAACAGG
rnacentral:rRNA from 1 species